AUUGAACGCUGGCGGCAUGCCUUACACAUGCAAGUCGAACGGUAACAGGUCUUCGGAUGCUGACGAGUGGCGAACGGGUGAGUAAUACAUCGGAACGUGCCUAGUAGUGGGGGAUAACUACUCGAAAGAGUGGCUAAUACCGCAUGAGAUCUACGGAUGAAAGCAGGGGAUCGCAAGACCUUGUGCUACUAGAGCGGCCGAUGGCAGAUUAGGUAGUUGGUGGGAUAAAAGCUUACCAAGCCGACGAUCUGUAGCUGGUCUGAGAGGACGAUCAGCCACACUGGGACUGAGACACGGCCCAGACUCCUACGGGAGGCAGCAGUAGGGAAUUUUGGACAAUGGGCGCAAGCCUGAUCCAGCAAUGCCGCGUGCAGGAUGAGGGCCUUCGGGUUGUAAACUGCUUUUGUACGGAACGAAAAGCCCUGGGUUAAUACCCUGGGGUCAUGACGGUACCGUAAGAAUAAGCACCGGCUAACUACGUGCCAGCAGCCGCCGUAACAC
rnacentral:rRNA from 1 species